ACCGGGCGCCCCUGAGCAGAGCCGCUGCCGCCCGCCGGCCUGGAGCCUCUCCUGCGCCGGGCACGUGUCCCAGCGGCUCCGUCCCCCCCACCCCCGAGAUCGGGGCGCUGCAGUCACACGACUCCAGGAGCUGGGGCUUGGGAACAGCGAGGUAGCGCUCCGCGCCCCUAUUGCCCCGGGCCGGGCUUGCUGCAGAGAGCAGGCGGCUUGAUGUCUCUCCCACUUCCACCAGACUGGUGCCAGCAGAGGAAAGGCGGUAAACCCAAAUCCAAGAUGGAAAUAGGAAGGCGCGCGCUCGUCCCACUGCUGAUUAUUAUCUCUGUCGAAGGGACCGCAGCGAUCUGCUCUGGAAAUCUGUAGCAUUUACCUUCCCCACAUUGGUAAAUGGGAGUGAGGAUGCGGGAAGGGAAGACACAGCUCUAUUUAUUUAUAAGUAUUUUCAUGAUGCUCAUCACUCAAGUAUAUGAGCACCUUGCCCGCUUUAAUCAUUUUAACUGCCCAGCUUCCCUAUGAGGUAGGAAGUGUUACCAUCUUUGUUAUCAGCUGGUGAAACCAUGCCACAGAGAGGUCACAUGAGUAACCUGCAGAAUAGCAAUGGUCCAGAUCACCUGAUGUUUAACCACAGGAUGAUCCUUCCUCCCUAGUGGAGCUGUAGUGGUGCUAACUCCCACAAGCCCUUUAGGCAGCAAUUAAAAAUUUACCUAUAUUUUGCCGUCAGUUGACUAUAGCCCGAAGCACCCAAGACAGAGAUGAUCUGUACACAAGAUGUGAUCACUAGUAGUAUGCGAGAUUCUAUCUCAUGUAAUAGCAUCAUCAGUAGUGUGUUAAUAAGUGCCUGGCGAAGACUGGUGCCACCAAUGUACCACAGAUUAUCCUUAGAAAAGUAAAAUGGCAUCUGCUCACA